rnacentral:rRNA from 1 species
AAAACUUUCAACAACGGAUCUCUUGGUUCUCGCGCCGAUGAAGAACGCAGCGAAAUGCGAUACGUAAUGUGAAUUGCAUAAUUCCGUGAAUCAUCGAAUCUUUGAACGCACAUUGCGCCCCACAGUAUUCUGUGGGGCAUGCCUGUUUGAGCGUCAU